rnacentral:rRNA from 1 species
GAUGAACGCUGGCGGCGUGCUUAACACAUGCAAGUCGAACGAAGCACUUUAUUUGAUUUCCUUCGGGACUGAUUAUUUUGUGACUGAGUGGCGGACGGGUGAGUAACGCGUGGGUAACCUGCCUUGUACAGGGGGAUAACAGUUGGAAACGGCUGCUAAUACCGCAUAAGCGCACGGCAUCGCAUGAUGCAGUGUGAAAAACUCCGGUGGUAUAAGAUGGACCCGCGUUGGAUUAGCUAGUUGGUGAGGUAACGGCCCACCAAGGCGACGAUCCAUAGCCGACCUGAGAGGGUGACCGGCCACAUUGGGACUGAGACACGGCCCAGACUCCUACGGGAGGCAGCAGUGGGGAAUAUUGCACAAUGGGGGAAACCCUGAUGCAGCGACGCCGCGUGAAGGAAGAAGUAUCUCGGUAUGUAAACUUCUAUCAGCAGGGAAGAUAAUGACG